GCCUAUGUAGUGUAAUGGUCAGCACACUCGGCGCGUAUUCGAGAGGUCCAGGUUCGAGUCCUGGCGUGGGCA
rnacentral:tRNA from 1 species